UUGACUUAAAUAGCACCCCCUUUUUUGAUUUGUUCUUUGUUUAUUUUGCGCAGGUGAUUAUUUCCUGUACAUGGACAACAUUUGUAAAUACGCAUGUAUAUUAUUUUCCCCAACAAGAGUUUUGUAUGUUAAAAAAAAGAAAUCCAUUCAUGGUGCUGAUGGGAAAUAAUGCAAAUUAGGCGAUGACGUCAUUUAGCAACUUUUAGGACAGCCAAUAACGACAUUCCUUACUGAGGAGUUGGCCACACUGCGAGAAAAACUGGGUUGAAAUUUUUAAGCAAGCCUCAGCUUCAUGCGUCCCAUCACUACUCCGCAAACCUUUUGUAGUUUAAUAUUAUUUGUCAAAUCUUAUCGAAUUAGUUAUUGCAGCUUUCUUUGGACAUACAUCUAGCAAAUAAAUCGAAAUAAUAAAGGGUGACUAACGUAUUUCUCUUUCUUUGCGUAGUUUUUAGUUGCCCAAGCAAAUACCGACAGGGUGGGCGUCUUGAUCAACCGAUGUCCAAUCUUGAAUUAAAUCGCGGUAGCACAACAUUGAUCAUUUGUUAGUGAUGUAAUGGUAUUGUGUUGUAUUUGUCCGUUAGCCCAGGGUUUAGGAAUACAAGUGUGAAUCCUUAGCCUAGGGUUAAACCUUAGCCCAGGGUUAAACACUUGAACACACUAAAAUAGCCCAAGGCUUAGAACUAUGCAGCGUUAAAAGGCAUAUAAUGAGUUGCCGUGAUAAAAUUCACACAAACUGGAACAGCCUGUGAUUUCAAUUGUUUACUUUGAUUUGAGUGAGUGUCAUCAUGAGCAUGAGGAACGGUGGCAGUGACAUUCAUCAGUUUUGGCAGCCUCAGAAAAGAAAAGUAAGCUGAGAGCAGUGAGAUGAAUACCAGUCAGAUGAUAGAAGUAUACACUUGCACGAGAUUAAAGAGCGAGAGAGGGAAUGCCAACAGGAUGCCAUGA